rnacentral:rRNA from 1 species
CCCUUAGAUGUUCUGGGCCGCACACGCGCUACACUGAAGGAGGCAGCGUGUACUCCUGGAUCGAAAGAUUUGGGUAACCCGCGAAUCUCCGUCGUGCUAGGGAUUGAGGUUUGCAAUUAUCCUUCAUGAACGAGGAAUUCCCAGUAAGUGCAAGUCAUAAGCUUGCGCUGACUACGUCCCUGCCCUUUGUACACACCGCCCGUCGCUACUACCGAUUGAAUGAUUUAGUGAGGACUUCGGACUGGGACCGAUGCGGCUUUCGGGCUGCGUCGGUAUUCUGGAAAGAUGUCCAAACUGUAUCAUUUAGAGGAAGUAAAAGUCGUAACA